AUGCCGGUGGUCGUCGCGGUGCUAGCCGAGCCCGGCGCGUCACCGGCCGCGCUCGUCCAUGCGGCGGCCACGGCGGGGAGCUUUGCUUGCGGCAUAGAGGAUGGCGCGUGGGCCGUGCUUGCUGUUGGCGCCAUGGGGCACCUUACGCGGCUCCCCGCCCACCCGCACGACAAGUCUGUACAUUGGCCACAACCGGAUCCACAGGAAAGAGGUGCUCGAGAUGGAGAACAUCCAUAUUGA
rnacentral:rRNA from 1 species